UUAUACUACUUCCUGUAGGCUUCAAACGCCACGCCACGCUGCUGUUCACUCUUCGAUUUUCUUUCAUUUCCUUUUGAUCUUGGACGCCCGUCGGCACCUGCCACUAGGUUAGAUCUUCGGAUAGGGAAAAAAGUUUAUUUUCUCGGUAUAAAAUGACUUCCAAAGUGUCACGUGACACACUCUACGAGUGCGUGAAUGGCGUUCUCAACCAUUCAAAAAAGAAGAAGAGGGGCUUCCUUGAAACAGUUGAAAUCCAAAUCGGUCUGAAGAACUACGAUCCCCAGAAGGAUAAGCGUUUCUCCGGAACAGUCAAACUGAAACACAUUCCGCGGCCCAAGAUGCAGGUGUGUGUUCUGGGAGACCAGCAGCAUUGUGACGAGGCCAAGGCCAACAAUGUUCCAUUCAUGGACGUCGAGGCUCUCAAGAAGCUCAACAAGAACAAGAAGCUGGUCAAGAAAUUGGCCAAGUCGUACGACGCUUUCCUGGCCAGUGACGCCCUGAUCAAACAGAUUCCCAGACUGCUGGGUCCCGGUCUCAACAAGGCUGGUAAAUUCCCUGGUCUUCUCUCCCAUCAGGAAUCCAUGAUCCAGAAGAUCGACGAAGUUAAGGCCACCAUCAAGUUCCAGAUGAAGAAGGUGAGAGAAGCAUUUCUAGGGAGUUAUUGAGCGAGUCUAAUUUUUACUUUCAAGCUACAUGAUGUUUCUGUAGUGAUAAGUUUACUAACUUAUAGUAACUACUUAUUAGUUUAAUUUUUAAAUUAAUCUCAUUGUACAAGAGCACAUCUAAAGCUGGAUUCUACCUUAUCAAUAUCAGAGUUCGUGUCCGGUUCAGUAAAAAUAAUACUUUUCCAAUGAUUUUUAAUUGGCCUAUUCAUGCUCACUAGAGUGGGAAUAGUCCCGUCAAAACUCAUGUAAUAAAUAAUAUUUACAACGUACCGGAAACAUACACUAAUGAUAUGUGGGAUACCGCCUUGUUGAACAGUCAUAGUGUGACAUGUGACCAUGUUUAUGUGCUAUAUUCAGUUAUGUAACAUUCUCUAAAAAUGUUAUAGUACUCGAAAAUCUGUAGAACCAAUAAUUCAAUUAAUUCUAUUUUAAAAUAAUUUUAUUUGUAUUUAAAUUACUGGUUUGAAUCUGACGACUCAGUUAACAAAAUGUACUAAUAUUGAAAUAGAAAUUUUAUUAUAAAUUGUAAUCUAUUGACUAGAAUUUGUAUAGGUGCAUGCUAAUAUAAAUAGGAUACAGUAUUAUUUAUUCAUGUUAUAAAUGUUUGUCCCAUCGACGCUAGCUUUGCUGAUUUAUCAUCGAUGAGCUUAUUUUUAAAGGGGACUACAUUGAAAUUCUCUCUAAAACACUGUUGCCUCCGUUCUUGAGGUUUCAGUAUCCUGUCUGGAGAUACAUUUAUUCUAUAUUUAUUCAUUCGAUAUUUCAAUGAACACUCGUGUAUUCCAGUCUUUUUGUAAUUUGUGUAAAAUUUAUUAUUUAAAAUCAAGCUGGAUUGUUUUCUUAAUUGGAAAAUGUAUUUUUUCGUCCUUACCGACGCUGACACGUUUGAUAAUUAUUCAAAUGAGGUUUUUAAUACAAUAAAAGGACUACAGUAAAAUCUUCCUAAAACACUGUUCCCUUAUAAUUUUGAGGUUGCAGUAUCCUGUCUGAAGAUACAACGUUUUUACAUUUCAAGCUUUGAAAUCUAGAACUGAAACACUCUGAUUUUUGUACUUAUUUGUUGAUUAACAAAUUAUGAUUAAUUAAAAUGUUGAUUAAUUUUGAUCACUGUAGCCUAUAGCAAAUAUGAUUGUGAACAAUUAUUGUGUUGUUUCACUUCUACUGAAUUAUUGUUCCGUUUGUCCCAACCGACGCUAACACAUCUGAUGAAUAUUCAAAUGGGUUUUAUUAUUUAUAUGGGACUACAGUAAAUUCUUCCUAAAACUCUGUUUCCUGAUAAUUUUGAGGUUGCAGUAUCCUGUCUGAAGGAACAAUGA